rnacentral:rRNA from 1 species
UACGAAGGGGGCUAGCGUUGCUCGGAAUCACUGGGCGUAAAGGGUGCGUAGGCGGGUCUUUUAAGUCAGGGGUGAAAUCCUGGAGCUCAACUCCAGAACUGCCUUUGAUACUGAGGAUCUUGAGUUCGGGAGAGGUGAGUGGAACUGCGAGUGUAGAGGUGAAAUUCGUAGAUAUUCGCAAGAACACCAGUGGCGAAGGCGGCUCACUGGCCCGAUACUGACGCUGAGGCACGAAAGCGUGGGGGAGCAAACAG